AUGCGUAUUACAGAACUCCUCCGCAGUAUUGUUGUUGUUGUCGGUGCUAUUGUUCUUGCCUUUGAGGGCUUGUAACAUCGUUGGGAAAAUGUGAUGGUAAACCUGGAAAAUGCCACAGAAACAGCGACAACUCCAAGCUGUGCACUUGAGGGCUAGGGGCCUGUUGGAGAAAUAAUAACGAAACAACAGAUAACGUUGUCUGAACAUUUACUGUGUGUGGUGGAAUAUAAUAUCUUCAACAGAUUUUUUGAGUGUUUUUAUAGGUAGGCUGAUUCCUCAGCCUGAACCUUAUUUGCAAUUAAGGCUACCCCGUGCAGCAGAGUUCAGAAGGCAGGAGUUAGAUGCAGGUGAAAUCGUAGUCCUAAAGAAAGGGGAGGUAAAAGAGAAAAGCUGGACUUUUUCUGUGCCUGGAUAUAUUACAGUAUCGGGAGUAGGACAGGAUGAAGGCGGAGUGAGCAUUUGGUAAUAACCAGUGUGACCGUGGGCAAGUCAUUUACUUUCUAAACCUUCGAACUCAGUAAAACUGAACUAAGAAAGAAUGAAUUACUUUGCAAGGUUGCUGUGAGCAUUGUAAGUAUACAGUCAAUUCACUCAUUUAUUUGGGAUGAUAUUGAGCAGAGUAGACCUGUAGAUGCAUGAGACACGAUUUCUAUCCUUGAGGAUUUUACAGUGGAAAAUGUAAAUAAGCAACCACAAAGCGUGGUAAGCCCUCCCCUAGUCAGCCUAGAAAAGAGUUUUAAGAGGAGGUGAAGCAGGAGCUGAUUUUUUUGAGACCGAGUUUUGCUCUUGUUACCCAGGCUGCAGUGCAGUGGCGCGAUCUCGGCUCCCCGCAACCUCCGCCUCCUGGGUUCAAGAGGAGCUGAUUCUUCAGGGUUACGUGUCCGGUGGACAACAGGAAGGGAAGCGCAGGUGUGAAGAUUUUUUUGAGGCUUCAUGACCACUUACCAGCCAGAGUGACACAGGUACCUUCAUUGAGAAACUUAAACAGGAAGUGAGGACUCCUCGGGGGAGGAGGGAAGCUGCAUCUCAGAAGGAGCUUAGCAGAGACUCGGCUUAUGCACUUACUUUCCAUGCAUCAAGACUGGAUGGAUGAUACGGAAUUCACCAAGGAAGAAAAAGAAGGAAAGAGGGAAGUAGGAAGCAAGUUCAACGGCGAGAGUUUUGGACCUUCUGUCUCCGAAGGACUCAUGCAUUUCCUGGGAGGUGCCAAGCAGGAAAAUGUGCAGGGGGGCCGUAUUCACUCCAGAGCGAAAACCACAGGCGUCAAUACGGUCACCCGUGGAGGAUGUGGAGUGAGAAGAGAAGAGGCCCAAACACUGAAUGGCGGAGACAAGUACACGUGAGAGGAAGCCGGAUUCUGUGAGCAGCAGAUGGAAAUCAGGAAGGAAGGCUGGCUGUGGAAAAGGCCCAGCAGCCAACAUCCGUAGACAGAAGCGCAUCGGAGUAAGGCAGCCACCCCAAGGUGCUGUGGGGCUCAGGGAGUGACAAAGGAAACCACUGCUGGGGUGGUCUGAGCAGGGUGCAUGUGGGCAUAUCUCAAAAUUAUGAUGAAGGGGAAUUCAGUAAUUGAGUUGAGUCUCUCCUCUCAGGUCCCCUUCACUUGUGCUUUGAUGAGCUCUGGCUUUACUUCAAAUGAAAACUGGUUUAUGGCAUCAAUGCCUGUAUCUGCUAACCUGAAUGAAACACAGAUUUCUAUGAUCAGAGAGUUACUUAGUCAAUGAGCCUCACUCUGAGUUCAACAAUGCCAUGUAAGCUAAAAGCCAGCAUUCCUCAUGGAACAGAGGCCCAGGUUAAAUUAAAAUUACAUAUUACCCAACCACAGGGCAAAGCUACACAGUUCUAGGACUCAGGUGGCUACAACUCCUCUGGCAACGACAGGAACUUGCUCUUAAGGAGCUUCAGGUCUAGUGGUGCAGGGAAGCAUUUAGGAAAUCGGAAUGUGGUAAGAACAGCUGAAGACUCUUAACUCAUCCAUGUAUAAGGAACUCUUACAGACCAGGCUUGGUGGCUCAUGGCUAUGAUCUCAGCACUUUGGAAGGCUGUGGACAGAUCAUGAGGUCAAAAGAUCAAGACCAUCCUGGCCAACAUGGUGAAACCCCGUCUCUGCUAAAAAUACAAAAAUUAGCUGGGUGUGGUGGCUUGCACCUGUAGUCCCAGCUACUUGGGAGGCUGAGGCAGAGAAUUGUUUGAACCCAGGAGGCCGAGGUUGCAGUGAGCUGAGAUGGUACCACUGCAGCACUCCAGCCUGGCAACAGCAAGACUCCAUCUAAAGAAAACAAACUCUUACAGGCUGGGCUCAGUGGCUCACACUGUAAUCCCAGCACUUUGGGAGGCUGAGGUGAGCAGAUCACUUGAGGUCAGGAGUUCAAGACCAACCUGGCUGACAUGGUGAAACCCCCUUUCUACUAAAAAUACAAAAAAAUUAGCUGGAUGUGGUGGUAGACACCUGUAUUCCCAGCUACUCAGGAGGCUGAGGCAGGAGAAUCUUUUGAACCUGGAAGGUGGAGGUUGCUGUGAGCCAAGAUCGGGGUGGAGGAAGCAAUGGCGUGUGGCGGGGGCAUGCCGAAGGGGAGCAGCCUGCCACUGCAUUCCUACCU